CGCCGGCCGGGUCCCGGGGUACAAAGAAGCGCCGCGCAGAGCCGGGGUUCCUGGAGGUCUCCGGAGCCGCCCGGGGAGCGCCUCCCGCCCCGCUUCGGGACGCCGCCCCGGUCGUUUCCCGCGCGGCGACGGAGGCUUGCCGGCCUCCCGACCCGCUCGCCCCUGCAGUGGCUGCAGGGCCCGGAGGGCGGCGGUCCGUUGCGGGGUUUAAUUCUGGCGCUCGCUCGCGGGGGCCGGCUCCGCCCGCCCCGCCCCGCCCCCUCCUCCGAGGUCCGGGAGCCGCGGCCGGCCGGGCGCCGCAGGUUGGGGAGCGCGCCCGGAGAAUGAUUGUCUCAUGGCUGGCUGGACAGCCUGCUGAAUGGUUGAAUUGCCUUCAUCUUCGGACCACACAGGGGAGAUUGUCCCUGGAGCUAAAACACUGAUCACAGUCAUCUUGUGGCCUGACCUGAUUGAGGUUGAAUGCAUUUGGGAACUUGAUGCAUAAAAUUUGCAUGACUCCUCACUCCUUUCUGGAUCUGUCGUUGGAUUCCAGCCAGCAUGGCUCACACCACAAAGGUUAACGGCUGUGCAUCAGGAAAAGCAGAGGGUGUUCUGAAUGGAGAUCAUGACAAGGAACAGAAAGACCCUUAUUUUGUGGAGACCCCCUACGGUUAUCAGCUAGACUUAGACUUCCUCAAGUACGUGGAUGACAUACAGAAAGGAAACACCAUCAAGAAACUGAACAUCCAGAAGAGGCGGAAGCCAUCGGUGCCGUGCCCAGACGGCAGGGCGGCGCCCGGCCAGCAAGGUGUAUGGACUUCCACAGAAUCCCUGUCCUCCUCCAACAGUGAUGACAACAAGCAGUGCCCCCACUUCCUCCUCGCCAGAAGCCAAGUGACAUCGACGCCAAUCCCAAGGCCCCCUGCCCCUCUGGAGGCCUCGCCCACUUUUCUUACCAUCCCGGAGAGCCGAGAGCUGCCACCACCCUCACCACAGCUCCCGAAGCACAACCUUCAUGUCACCAAGACGCUGAUGGAGACCCGGAGAAGACUGGAACAGGAGAGAGUCGCCAUGCAGGUGGCACCGGGUGAGUUCCGACGGCCCAGGCUGGCCAGUUUUGGAGGCAUGGGCUCCACGAGCUCGCUCGCCUCCUUUAUGGGUUCUGGAAACCACAAUCCCGCCGUGCACCCACUUCAGAACGGGUACCAAGGCAACGGGGAUUACAGUGGCUAUGCCCCGGCUCCUGCCACCACUUCGUCCAUGGGGAGCUCCAUGCGCCACAGCCCCCUGAGCUCCGGGAUCUCCACUCCAGUGACCAACGUGAGCCCCAUGCACCUGCAGCACAUCCGCGAGCAGAUGGCUAUCGCCCUGAAACGCCUGAAGGAGCUCGAGGAGCAGGUGCGAACCAUCCCCGUGCUCCAGGUAAAGAUCUCAGUCUUGCAGGAGGAGAAAAGACAGUUGGCCUCGCAGCUGAAAAACCAGAGAGCCACAGCCCAGAACGACAUCGGGGGCAUGAGGAAGCGGUCCUACAGCGCUGGGAACGCAUCCCAGCUGGAAGAGCUCUCCGGGGCCCGGCGAGGCGGCGGGGAAUUGUACAUCGACUACGAGGAGGAGGAGAUGAGGAGCGUAGAGCAGAGCACGCAGAGCAUCAGGGAGUUCCGGCAGCUCGCAGCGGACAUGCGGGCCCUGGAGCAGAAGAUCCAGGACAGCAGCGGCGAGGCCUCCUCGGAGCUCCGGGAGAACGGGGAGUGCCGGUCCGUGGCCGUGGGUGCCAACGAGAACAUGGACCACGUGGUCGUGUACCGCAGGGGCCCCGGGGCCUGUAGGGACGCCGCUGUGGGGACCGUCACUGAGACGAGGAGCUCUGGGGUCGGCGUGACGGAGGCCAUGCUGGGACUGAUGACGGAAGCUGACAAAGAAAUCGAGCUGCAGCAGCAGACCAUAGAAGCCCUGAAGGAAAAGAUCUACCGCCUGGAAGUUCAACUGAAGGAAACCACGCAUGACCGCGAGAUGACCAAGCUCAAGCAAGAACUGCAGGCCGCUGGGUCGAGGAAGAAGGUGGACAAAGCCGUGACGGCCCAGCCGCCUGUCUGCAGCAAGAUGGUGGAGGCCGUGGUGCCCACGAGAGACCAGAUGGUGGGCCGCCACGUGGACGUGGCCGACACGGGCGUCGGGACCUCCGUGCACACGCGCAGCGUGGCGGUCUCCUGCCAGCCCGCGUGUGAGAGUAGAGCCGCGGGGCCUGAGCUGCCCCUGAACUGGUGGAUUGUCAAGGAACGGGUGGAGAUGCGUGACCAGUGUGCCGGGAGGUCCGUGGAGACGUGCGACAAGAGUGUGGGGGUGGAAAUCAGUAUCUGCGAAACAGGCAGCAACACGGAGGAGUCUGUGAACGACCUCUCGCUCCUCAAGACCAACCUGAAUCUCAAAGAAGUGCGAUCCAUCGGCUGCGGGGAUUGUUCUGUCGAUGUGACCGUCUGCCCCCCGAAGGAGCGCGCGUCGCGGAGCGUGAACACGGAGGCUGUUAGCCAGGUCGAGGCCGCUGUCAUGGCGGUGCCUCCGACCACCAGCCAGCACACCAGUAUGGCUUGGGGACAGGUGGACCAGUCCACCAACACCGAGACGGCCACCCUCGUGGACUCCAGCACCAGCACCUCCCUCAGCACUUUGGACAAGCAGACCAGCACCCAGGCUGUGGAGAUGCGGACCGUGGCCAUCGGGGAAGGCCGUGUGAAGGAUGUCAACUCCUCCGCCAAGAUGCGGUCCAUUGGCGUGGGAACGGUGCUGUCUGGCAGCUCUGGCUUUGACAGGCCUUCGGCUGUGAAGACCAAAGAGUCAGGCGUGGGGCAGAUAAAUAUUCACGACAACUAUCUGGUUGGUCUCAAAAUGAGGACCAUAGCUUGUGGUCCCCCGCAGCUGACUUUGGGGCUGGCAGCCAGCAGGAGGAGCGUAGGUGUUGGGGAUGAGCCCGUUGGAGAGUUCACGGAGAGCCCCCAGCCCCAGGCUCCUUCUGGCACGAUGACCGGCUUGGACCACUACAUCGAGCGCGUCCAGAAGUUACUGGCAGAGCAGCAGGCUCUGCUGGCUGAGAACUACAGUGAACUGGCAGAAGCUUUUGGGGAGCCACACUCACAGAUUGGCUCUCUGAACUCGCAGCUCAUUAGCACCCUGUCCUCAAUCAGCUCUGUCAUGAAGUCUGCAAGCACGGAGGAGCUGAGGAACCCUGACUUCCCCAAAAUGAGCCUGGGUAAAGUUACAGGCAGUGGUUUGGAAUACACCUGUAAGUGUGGAGGCCUUCAGGCAGGAGCUCCGUUCCACACCCAGACCGCCCCGCCUGAGCAAGCAGCGGGGACCGUGGAAGGGAGACCCCUCGGCGGCCAGGACGCCUUCCCCUCUCAGGAAGGCACGCUGUCCCCCGUGAACCUGACGGACGACCAGAUAGCCGCCGGCCUCUAUGUAUGUACAAACAAUGAAAGCACACUGAAGUCUAUCAUGAAGAAGAAAGACGGCAACAAAGAUUCAAAUGGAGCAAAGAAGAAUCUUCAGUUUGUCGGCAUUAACGGAGGGUAUGAAACAACUUCAAGUGAUGAUUCCAGCUCAGAUGAAAGCUCUUCCUCCGAGUCAGAUGACGAGUGUGAUGUCAUUGAGUACCCUCCCGAGGAAGAGGAGGAGGAAGAGGAGGAUGAAGACACUCGGGGAAUGGCGGAAGGGCACCAUGCCGUUAAUAUUGAAGGUUUCAAGUCUGCCAGGGUGGAAGAUGAGAUGCAGGUUCCAGAAUGUGAACCUGAGAAGGUGGAAAUCAGAGAGAGGUAUGAAUUAAGUGAAAAGAUGUUGUCUGCCUGCAACUUACUGAAAAAUAAUAUAAAUGACCCCAAAGCUUUGACCAGCAAGGAUAUGCGGUUCUGCCUGAACACCCUGCAGCACGAGUGGUUCCGCGUGUCCAGUCAGAAGUCAGCCAGCGCGGCCGCGGUGGGCGACUACCUGGCGGCGUUCGAGGCCGUCUCCCCGGAGGUCCUCCGCCACGUCAUCAACAUGGCGGACGGCAACGGCAACACGGCCCUCCACUACAGCGUGUCCCACUCCAACUUCGAGAUCGUGCAGCUGCUCCUGGACGCGGACGUGUGCAACGUGGAUCACCAGAACAAGGCGGGCUACACCCCCAUCAUGCUGGCAGCCCUGGCCGCCGUGGAAGCCGAGAAGGACAUGCGCGUCGUGGAAGAACUCUUCGGCAGCGGGGAUGUGAACGCCAAAGCCAGCCAGGCGGGUCAGACGGCCCUCAUGCUGGCCGUCAGCCACGGGCGAAUCGACAUGGUGAAGGGCCUGCUGGCCUGUGGGGCUGACGUCAACAUCCAAGACGACGAGGGCUCCACGGCGCUCAUGUGUGCCAGCGAGCACGGGCACGCAGAGAUCGUCAAGCUGCUGCUGGCCCAGCCGGGCUGCAACGGCCACCUGGAGGACAACGACGGCAGCACCGCGCUCUCGAUAGCCCUGGAGGCGGGACACAAGGACAUCGCGGUUCUUCUGUACGCCCACGUCAACUUCGCCAAGGCCCAGUCUCCGCUGUCUGCCCGGCCCUGUUGACUUACGGCCCUGGAAGCUGGGCUGAUGGACUGCACAGGCGGGGAGAGCCGGCCCGCUGGUCUUGCACUUGGCCGAGAGGAGAGCACGACUCUGUUCGCACAGCUCUGCUCGGUAUUCAGGUUGCCCGUCAGGCAUCGAAAAUUUAAGACCUUAUUAGGCAAGCAGCUCAUCAGACAGAGCCAGGCUGGCGGUCUUUCUGGAUGCUCACGCCAAGGCCUGAGAGACAGGGGCAUCUGUGAGGGCAGGCCCUGGGGGCCCACAGGACCAGGAACCAACUCGAGGGGUCUCCCCACCCAAAGGCACAUAAUCGUGCAUGUCCAUCGUUCUUGGGUCAGAGACUCAGUUGAGACGAGUCAAGAAGAGGGAGGGGAAAUUUAUAGGAGGGGAAACCCACCUAUAAAUUAAUCUCUGAGAGACAAGACUCCCUUUCAGGAAGUACACUGGCCGACACUGAUUGAUGGCAGACCUUGAAUGACCAGAGAACAUUCAUGAAGUUGCUCCCGAGGCCCCAUUCAAUCAUGGUCAGGGUAGAGCCGGAAGCUUGGUGUUGAUCUUGUAAGCCCUGCCGUGUUUUCUGGUCCGCAUAAUAUUUCAAAAGGUAGAACAGAGUACUUUUAUGUGUCUCUGUGUGUUAGGAGUUUGGGAACUCAGGCUCAGGAGGCCGAUAAACCUAUGACUGCCAGAGUGACAGACUUGGAUUCAUGAGUUCGUCCUGCCAGAUGCAUAUCUGUGCUUCUGAUUCACACUGAAAUUAGGGAAGCCAGACACUGCCACCCCUCUCCCGUGAGUCUAACGAAGGGGACCUCUCGGUGGUCUGUACACACGCUGAGCUCUGCAUGAAGGGGAGUUUUAUCCAGAUGUCAACAUCAAGAACAGCGACCGCUGCAAAGAGCCGGCCUGUCUGGAUAGAGAAGCCCCCUGCUCUCGGCAAUCCGUGGAAAUAUGGGGAGGCAUCUCUUUUCCGGGCUCUGCUUCAACCCCCUCCGUUGAUUUGAUGCCUAAUGAAGAAUGACUUUUCACUUCUUGCUGUGCUCAUUCUGUGGUUUCUACCAAGAUAUUGAACACAUCUGUAGAGCUGAAGGCCGGGGAAGGAUCUUCAGCUCGAGGUAGCACAAGCGAAGAUCAGUCUGCAGGGACCCAUUUUUCUUUGAAGGCGAAAGUUGCUGCUGAUAACUCUUCCAAGGGUGCGUCAUUCUCUGAUUUAUAAGUGGGCACGUGAGUGACCUUGCCCACAGUGAUGCUCUGUAACACACAGCCCGCAAAGCCUCUGCGGUAUCCAGCCGUGAGCAUUUAUUCCUCCCGGGGUUGGGGGGCCCACUAACCUCUGGCUCUGCUGCUGACCGUGGCCCAUCUCACGCUGGGCCGUCAGCUGAGGGAAGCUGGCUCCGUUCCCGUAGCUCACGGUUUCAGCUCUGUGACUCGUACCUUCCAGCUGCAUAGCCCAAGAAUGUUCUCAAGGCCGUGACAAAGAUGCAGGAGGAGCAAGUGGACCAGGCUUGUUCAGGCUUCGCUUCAGUGCUGGCACCCCAUCAUUCCACACGACAUGCUCUUGGCCCCAGCAAGUCCAAGACCAGCCCAGAUUCAAGGAGAUCGGGAAACAGGUCGGGCCUCUUCAGUGAGAAGAACAAGUCAGGAUGUUUGGCUUCAAACAGAGUAAAGGAUGUGGAGCCAGAAAAUGCAAUAAAUACUUCACAGUGAGAUCCUUCCCCUUAGUGGUUCUGGCCAGGGUUUUGGGUGUUGCUCAACAGACCUACUUCUAUUACCCUCCUUGAAUACCUGUGGGAAAGGGUGGAGACAGUAAAUCUGGUCCCUCCUUGAGGCUAACUGAUGCUUGCGGAGCUCUUCCACAGUGGACACCUCAUGGAAAUUUUCAGCCAAACCAUCAUCACUGCAAGGAGCAUCACCCUGGGGGAGCCCCUGACUAGACUCCCCUGCCACAGAGCGGCCAGGGACUGUGACAACGUGCAGCAGUGGGCAGGAAGUGGGGUGGCCACCCGGAAGCAGCUGGAAGGGAGGACUUGUCCUAAGCGUCUUAGGAGCUGGUUUCGAAUGCUGUGUUUGAGGGACAUCAGCCAGGGUGAGACAUGACAGAGGAAGACCCUUCAUUGCUCCAGGCUGUCCUCAUCCAGGCACCCACACCGGGAACCAUGUCCACAGCCUUUGGCUUCCUGCUGACAGAGUCCAAGAGGGGACUGGCAUGAGUCACGUUAGAGCCCCUUCGGCUCCCAGCUAGAAGCAGGAUUCUCACCACAGGCCCUGGCUACCUCCCGUGGCCAACAGGCAGGGCUCCGUAAUCUCGUCUGAAGUCUUGUCCAUGGACUUGUUCCGAGGCAGUCUUACCAAGUGAGUCGGGCACGGUGUCGGGGCAGUUACCUGCCCUUCGGGAGCUGGUCCCAGCCUAACGUCCCCCACGGAGCUGGGAUCUUGGUUGUGCUGGCUGAGGGGCUGUGCGUGCUGAGGUUGGGGGCGGGCAGCCGGCAGAGACAAGAGCUUUCCCACUUGCUAAUGGAGUGAAGGGAACUCCUGGGGGGCCCAGUCUGUGAAGCAUCUGACAACUCUUGAUUUUGGUUCAGGUUAUGAUCUCAGGGUUGCGAGAUGGAGCCCCAUGUUGGGCUCCUUGUGCAGCAGGGGGUCUGCUUGGGAUUCUCCCUCGCCCUCUGCCUCUCCCCCUGCUUGUGUACUUUCUCUCUCAGAUAAAUAAAUAAAUCUUUUAAAAAGAAGAAGAAAGAAGGGAACUCUUCACUGCCUAGGGACAGCAUAACCGUCUGGCUGCUCUGUGAGAAGCCAUCUGCCGAAUAGCCUCAAAAUACAGAGGCAUGUGUUCCCGGGCUCCACCGUAAAGGUCCAGCCGACGGCAUCGUCACUUUGGUCAAGCACGAGAAACACCUUUGUAGGAUUGUGGGCGGAGCUCACUGGAAGACAAGGAGACCUGUGUAACUCUCAGACCCCAGCCUCGCAGACGAAGGCUGGAAGAGCCGGCGGCCGCACGCUGAGGGGGAUGGAUGCCUUCUUAUAGUUGUCUUCAGAUGCCGUGGGUCCCAGGAUCUGCAGGGCCGGGCCCUGCCACCCUCAUUCCCUUCCAGGGAUGCCACUUUCCCCACAACCCAGAUGGCGAGCAGAAGCACUUGUCGGGAAGAAGGUGCUGGGUCCCAAGUCCGGAGUCCACAGGCUGUUCACCAUGAGCCACAGGGUGGGCGGUCACGCAUCUAAAGGGCAGUCAUGUGAACAGGGAGAAGAGGAGUUCUUUCCUGAUCCAGGAGGAAGGGGGUGGAACACUGAGCCAAAAACCCAACCCCCAGCACACAACGCAUUUAUUUUUUUUAUUUUUUUUAAAGAUUUUAUUUAUUUAUUUGACAGAGGCACAGCGAGAGAGGGAACACAAGCAGGGGGAGUGGGAGAGGGAGAAGCAGGCUUCCCGCGGAGCAGGGAGCCCGAUGCGGGGCUCGAUCCCAGGACCCUGGGAUCACGACCCGAGCCGAAGGCAGACGCCCAACGACUGAACCACCCAUGUGCCCGCACACAAUGCAUUUAAAUGACACCCCUCCGCCCCCCAGGAAAGGGUGAACUAGGAAAAGCUCGUUCAGCUAAAGCAACUGAAGUCGGAAUGGGCUCCACCAGUGUUAAGGGACGUGAGAGCCUGCAUGGGCAUCCUGAGGUCCCACUGGUGCUGAGACUGCGGCUUUCCUCCAAGCCACCAACCCGGUCACUCACUCUGUUCCCUGCGCAGCCUGACCUAUCAGCCCCGCCCCUCCCCAGCGGCCAGUGGUGGACACACCCCUGCAUGAACCAGUCUCCUACUGACCAUCAGUGUUACUACAAGCAUUUUUUAAUAAUCCAUUAAAUCUGGAAUUUCAGAUUGUACCACGUAUAGUAAUGGUUAGUAAUAGUUAAUGAAACUGCAUUCACAUGCCCACGCACGCACGUGCUGCGUCACAAGGUAAGAUGUCCUGGUGACGGUGGGCAGAGCAGAAGUCUAGGUACAGGACACGAUGCAGCCAAGCCCAGCGGUAGUUGUAGUUCCUCAUAAGGGAUGCAGGGAGGAAUCUUCUUGAGCAUCUAUUGUGACUCCUUCUGAGUCAAGGACUAAGGGUGGGGGUAGGGCUGCACAAAGUGGAGAGGAUCAGCCCCUCCCCAUUGAGGGGAUAACCAUUGCGUUGACUAGCAGCCACACCCAAGUAAAGAAAAACACGUUAGGGUGCAGCGGGCCCCUGAGAUAGGAUGGCGGGUGGAGCCCAGGGGAGGUAGGAGAGCUCCUGGGAAGAUUCAUCCAGACUUGUGUCCUGAAGGAAGCAAAGAGCAGGACAGUGCCCGAAAGAAAGGGAGUUUACCUCCUAGCAGGCUGGCGCUGGAAAGGGCUUUCGGGCAAAUGUCACCAUCUCAUUUUCCCCCUGGUAACCCACAUUUAUGGUUUCAUGGACUAUAAAAGUUCAAAGUUUAUAGCAAGUCCCUUUCUCUUUCAAAGCUUGCCUCUCCCUUUCUUAUUUUGACUUCUUAUGUGUGAUUUUUUUUUUCGUUGUGGUAAAAUACGCAUAACAUGCAGUUUGCCAUUUUAAUUUUAAUAAAUGUAUGAUUCAGUGGCAUUCAGUACAUUUGCACUGAUGAAUAACCACCGGAACCAUCCGUCUCCGAAACUCAUCACCCAAAGCAGAAGCUUACCAUCGAGCAGUAACGACCCACUUCCCACUCCCACUCGCCUCUGGUAUGCUCCGUUCCACUUUCUGUUUGUGCGAAUUUGCCUGAAAUAAGUGUAUUUCACUUGGCAUAACAUCUUCAAGAUUCAACCAUGUUGUAGUGAGUGUCAGGCCUCCAUCCCUUUUCAUGGCAGGAUAAUAGCACAUUGUAUGUAUAUGCCAUGUUUUGUUUAUCCAUUAUCCUUGGAUGGUCACUUGGGUUGUUAUCACCACCCCACAAUGAAGGAACUGGGGCACGUGGGUGGCUCAGUCGGUUAGGCAUCCAACUCUUGGUUUCGGCUCAGGUCAUGAUCUCAGGGUCGUGAGAUCAAGCCCCGUGUCAGGCUUUGCACUCGGCCCAGGGUCUGCUUGGGAUUCUCUCUCUCCCUCUGCCCUUCCUCCUGCUCACACUCUCUAAAUCAAUCAAUCAAUCAAUCAGUCUUUUUUAAAAAAUCAUAACAUGAAGGAACUGAAGCUCUGAGUGGCUCAGAGUUACCCAACUACUUAAUGGGAAGCCUGAUUAGAGAGUGCAUGUCUCUUGCAUCCUAGGCCAAGAUUGCUACUACUCCAGGCCAGCAGCCCAACACCCCUUUAUUUCACAUUCUGCUCUGGUUUCAAAUAGUGAAAGAUAACAAUCCUUUAUAUAGCACCUAACUAUGUACCAGGCACUGUUCUCAGUGCUUUAUGCGUGUUAAUUCAUUUUCUCCUCACCAUAAACCUGUAAGGUAAAUGCCCACCGUUACUUUCCCCUUUUGGCAGAGAAGGAAACAGAAGCAGGGAGGUUAGGUAACUUGCCCAACAUCACAUAGCUAUUAAGUGACAGAGCUGGACCAAGAACCCAGUUCCAGAAUCCCUGCGCUUACUCCAAUACAUUGCCCCUCUUGUAGGGAGAAAAGAAUUCUUCACCAAAGCAAUACAUCCAGUGGGAUUAUAUUUCAGUGUUAGAGACUCAAAUUCUGGAGACAAAAUCAACCAAGCUGCCCUUUCUCUGAGAUUAACUCGGGAAGACAAAUUUAUUCCAGGGAAAAGAUUGCAAGCUGAGUUACACCUGCCUUUUUUCAGCAAAUGUCUACGGCCUCAAACUCUGCCUGGGUCUCAUGGGACAGUCUGUCCCCCUAGCCAGAUGAUUUAGGAGCUACAGGGUGAACGUAAAUCCUUCAGGCCCAAAAUUGGUCCCCUAAAAUAUCCUAGAUUCUGCUCAGUUAAAGACACAGAAGUGUGAUUCCAGGAAUACCCUUGCUACUGCAAAUACAAUUACUCGGUUUUCCAUGUGCCUCUGAGUGUCACGAUCCCGCCUACCACAGCCACUGCAGUUAGGGCUGGGCCAGGAGUCUGCAGACCCCAGAAGAGUCACACAAGCACCCAACCACCCUGCCCCAGUUCUAUUUAGGUCAUGUGGCCUGUCAACUAGGAGGACAGAACUUUCUAGAACAAAAAGCUAAAGCACAGCUGCUUUCUCCAAGUCUGUUCUACUUGGGAAAGCAAGUGCUGAGGAUAUCACUCCCACCCUAAGGAGGGAGCAUACAGGAGGCAGGCCCGCUGUCUCCAGCAAAACAAGCAAGGAUGCUUAUUUACGGGCCCUGCCGAGAAAGUGUAUUAUUAGAAGGGCUGAGCCCCGGGGGGCUCUGUGUCCUUGCCGUGUGGCUGGCUGAGUUCUCCAGGUCGUGGGUGGUUUCAGCCAGUAAGUCUAAGGACUUUGGCUGAUCGGUCAACAAGAACAGAGCUUAUUUACCUGCCACAGAACAUCGGGCUGUCGCUUUGAUAAGACUCCUUCAAGGUGCCCUUGGAAAGCAACCAGUUUGCUGGCUUCUACCCUUUCCUCUGAGGUGCAGACUGCUAAGACAGCAAGAGAGCGCACACAUGAACACUGCUGUUUUAUGUGUCUAGCCAUGAUGAAUUUUUUCUCUUCAACCUCACCCACCCGCUGGUGGUGGCCCACGGCUCCUACGUGAGCAGUAAGAAGCCACAGAAAUCCGGAUGAUGCAGUCACAGAUGGAGCCCUGCAGUUCCAGAACUAUUCUCUGGCACUCCGUAAAUAAUGCUGGCGAUACCCCCCUUCUUACCCAGAAGUCUUCUCAGAGGGGUCCCCUUGAGUUCUCAGGACCCUGUCCAGAGCUAGGGCAAGAAAGAACCCAUGGAAGGUGGAAAUCCAUGCAGGCUACACAGCAUCCUGCUGGGGCCGUGAAGACCCCAGAGGAGCCACGCAAGCACCCCACCAGUUACAUUCAGAUCAUGUGACUUGACCAGGAAGGGAGAAACUUCUGGAAGGAAUGCCAAAGAGACUCCAUAGCUGCUCUACUCCAAGCCUCUUACACCCAGAAAAGCAAGUGACGAGCAACCACACGAGGUCAUGCUCAUCAAGGCAUUCUGUAGACGUGUCCAAGCGCUCCAGGAGGGCCAACUCUUUCGCUGGGGGUGAGGGCGUUUUUCCUUGAGGUUGGGCUGCUUUUCAUUCCAAGUUCCAGUGACCGGCAUUCCUCCCCAGGGCACCAGGUGCUCGCACGGAGACAGUGUCUUCCCAGUCACCCCAUGAGCGCAGACGACAGCUGGGCUGGUGGCUAAUCGUUUAAACCGCAGAUGUCCCUGUUCGAACUGGAUCGUCCCCUGUGGCGCUGGACCCCGGCAGGCUGUUCUUUGGGUGACGAAAAGAAAAGCCCACUGGGCAGCAAGAAGACUUCUCAGAGGAGCCUGAAGGCUGCAUGUGGGGCGUGCGGAGGACGGGGUCCUCACGCACUCCUGUGUGCCUCUCAGUGUGCGACAGACAGAUUCCAGCCUACCCCGGGCCGCGCUGCCGUGUUCUAGGCUCGCUCCCCAUUCCCCUGUAUGCUAUCGGCCCAUGCCGGCCCAUUCCCUCCUGUGGCCUGAUGCUGUAUGGAGCACUUCCGGGCAUCCCCUCAUCGAGUCCCAUGAGCUGGGUUGUCACCAAGCUCCCUGUGUUCCACCUCCUUAGCAGCUUCUGUGUCUGUCCCCUUCUUGCUCCUUGGGUUCUUUCAUUUCUGGGCCUGAAACACUGGUCUCUUUGCCAAGCAAAUGCAGAAAAGCAUGGCCCCAACCAGGAUUAUAAGGGGUGGCCUUAUGCAUACCAGUGGAUCUAUCAGUGGACAAUCAGAAGAGACCAGAACAAUGCACUCCUAUUAUGGCUAUUCAUCUGGAGGGAAGGCGAUCAAUAUAGACACUAAUCCAGUUUAAUAAGGGAAACAGGCCUCCCUUACUGGUUCUGUUCCAGGGCACGAAGGGAGUUCACUGUCACUGCGUCCUUGCUUCUGUUCUCCGGCUGACCGCUGCAGUCCCCCUCAGUGCUCUUAGACGAGACACUUGGCACCUGCUCUUCUGAGAGUUUCUUGUCACUCGUGAAGCUUCCGUGACCAGUAACGAUGGUACACAGAGGAGAACGCCUCACACCUCCUUGUGGCUAACGUGGGCGAGUCUUCAUCUUUGGAAGCAUGUUCUACCCUACUUUGGAAAAAAGCAAAAGUCUUUCCUCUUGCAGGCCACUGGACGUACCGUACUUCAUAUCAAGUAAGGUGAGGCCCCAGAGAGGGCUUCCUGGACCAGCUAAACUAGGUCUGGCCCUUGCCUUGGCUUCACUUACUCUGUGGGCAAUAGGGAGCACUGGACUUUUUUUGCCUGCAGUCGUAGAAACACCUGAUUUCAAGUCUCAGUACUCACGUUCUGAAACACUGUAAGACUAAAAUGAAACACCACCUUAGUAGACUUCUUUCCCAUAAAACGAAAUUAUAUACUCUUUCCGUUCCAUAAUUAGAGGAAAGAUACUCUUCCCUCUAGUAAAAAUAAGGAAAAGAGAAUUUAAAGAGGUCCAUUAUUUUUUUCAAAAAUUAUGUGGGAAUUAAGGGGGGCCUGGGGUGGCUCACUCAGGUAGGCAUCAGACUCUUGAUUUUGGCUCAGGUCAUGAUCUCAGGGUCGUGAGAUUGACCACUGCGUGGAGCCUACUUAAGAUUCUCUCUUUCCUUCUCCCUCUGCUCCCACCCCCUUGCCACCUGCUUGCACACACAAGCGCUCGUUCUUUCUAAAAAAAAAAAAGUGGGAAUUUAAAUACCACUUAAUAAAUUAUUGCACUGUGUCAUCUAAACAACCAUACUAAAAAGAAAAAUUUAAGUGAACCUUUGCCAAUUACAGUGCUGAUACCUGUCACUACUUUUUUUUUCUCUCUAUAUUUGUUUUUCCUUCUACAAUUCUCCCUCUAUUUAUUGUAGCAAAUUAUGACACACUUAUAGUUUGGGUAUGUAUUGAAUAGUUGUACACAUCCUUCUCUCAACGUCAAGAAGGCAGGAAUCUAGAAGCCGGAACCGUACCCAGCGCGGGCUAGGGAAGCCGUGCGCCCUACGGUUCUCUGCCACCUGGUGUCUACAUCUGGGUACUGCACUGUCCUCAGUCGGGUCCGACAAGGGUGUUCUCCCUCUUCACCGUCCCCGGGAGGCCAAACGCAGACCGAGCCCACUCCUGUGGGAUGAGAGAAAAAGUACCAGGAACUCUGGCAUCAGACCUAACUUAGACUCCUUCGUUCCCCCUUUACACCUGAGCCUGUGAGCAAGUUAGCUUCCCUUUUGGAGACUUCAUUUCUACACCUGUAGCCUGCAGGUGAUAAUGCCCGCCUUCAGAGUCGUGGCCAUAGAAGUUCUAGAAAGCCGCAUGGGUUGACGUUGCUGUGAAGAUUAAAUGAAUGGUGUAAAGUGCCCGCCAGCCAUCCAACAAUGAAUGCUUCCUGAACAAAUGAGAGCGUGAGUAGGACAGCAGACGGAAGGAACCUGGGAGGAAGGUCGGUCCGUCAGUCCAGCUGACGUCCCCUCUUCUGAGGGACCCAGGGAGACGAGGGGCAGGCAGGAAUGCUGGUGACUGAGGGUGAGGCUCUUUCCGACAGUGGCACUUGGAGUCCCGCUUCCAAAUCCCUAAGGCUAAGAAACCGAGUGGCCUAGCUGGGUUUGGGCCCAUCCCCGGUCCAGACAUGUGGCCAGGGGUCCGCUGUGAUCGUUAAGGGAGACCAGGAAGGGGUUGGUCCUCGUGAACUGGAUUGGCAUUCUGGGGGGUGUUCACUGCACCACAAGAGAGUCUGAACCAGGCAGCGGAGACAACAGGAUGCGGGUGGGAAGAGCCCUUCCGAUACUGAGUUAGGUCUUACAGGGGAACAGCUGUGAUAGGUAAGAAAGCCUACGCUGAAGUUGCUGCUAGACCCUAAAUCAUGAACUUCUAGAAAGCCAGAUGGGUAUGGAUUGAUUUAUCUCAUCCAUCUGCUACUAAAGAAUCAACGGAUGCAAGUAUCACUUUUAUUCCCCUUCAAAUAUACAAAAAUGGAAACCCAGAGAAAUUAGAUUUUGUGUUUGAUGUUACAAAAGUAAUGGGCUCUAAACUGGAACCUGAGUUCUCCACGUUCUGCUGAGCUUUUCUUCCAGUACAACACGACAGCUCCAGGUAAAGGGCAGCCUCCAGAAGAAACUGUCGGAUUUUUUUUUUUUUUUAAGAUUUUAUUUCUUUAUUUAAGAGAGAGAGGGAACACAAGAAAAGGGAGCGGCAGGCAGAGGGAGAAGCAGGCUCCCCGCUGAGCAAGGAGCCCCACGUGGGGCUUGAUCCCAGGAUCCUGGGAUUACGACCUGAGCCGAAGGCAGACGCUUAACGACUGAGCCACCUAGGCACCCCAUCUGUCGAGUAUUUUGAGAAGAGCAACCCCCAGGAAGUUCCAAUGAGCUGGACAGGAGGCAUCAUCUUCCAGAUGUGGUCCAUGGGUAGUUAGUAUGUUUUUCCAUUACCUUUAAUCCUCGAUGACCUCCUACCUAUUUGAAAUAAAGGUUCAGGGGUCUUUCUGGAAACACAUAUACACACACACACAAACUCCCAAAACAAAAAACAUUGGUCUUAUUCUUUAUAUUAGCUUCACUAAACAGAUUUCAGCUUUAGGAAACAUAAUCAGAGCAGAGCCUAAUUUAAGAAAUUCUUUUUACUAAGAAAUCAAUACCUUUUAGGUUGUUUAUAAAUAAUCUUCUUCUCUACUGUUUUUCAGUUGUUGAAAAUGAAUACAGUGUUUUAAAAAUGGCACAUUAAGACAGAAGCUACAGGUGUACUGUAAAUUAUUAUUAGGAAACAAGUGUGGCAGACAGACCAUCUCCUGAUGGUCACGCCUUUGCGAUGCCCCUCCCCUCGAGCAGGGGUGGGACCUGUGACUUGCUUCUGCCCACACGGGAUGGCAAAGGCGAUAGAAUGUCAUGUCUAUGAUCACAUCACAUAAGGUUGUAAUACCUGUCUUGCAAGGAGACUCUUCCUUGUAGGAAGUAAGUGGUCAUUGUUGGCAAGACUCACAUGGCAAGGAGCCGAGGGUGCCCUCUGGCCAACAACUUCCAAGAAAAUGAGGCCCUCCAUCGGACAACCCGCAAGAAACGGAAAGCUCCUAACAGUGAUGUGAGCAGGGAAGUAUAUUCUUUCCCACUCUGGCCGCAGAUGAGACCACAGCCCCAGUGAUCAUGUUGAUUACAGCUUUGCAGCAGAUGCGGCUAAGCUGGACCUGGACUCCUGACCUACGGAAACUGUGGCAUAAUGAAUACGUGUUGCUUUGAGCCACUGAGUUUGUGGUGACAUGACUGUACAGCAAUAGGGUGACCUACUACAACUAGACCAUAUAAAGAAGAAAAAAUGUUCAUUCUCACUACCCGGAGAUUACCAUUGCUCACAGUUUGUAGAUAGUUUCCUGAGUACAAUUAAUACAUCAUCACGGAAAAAUCAUGAUUAAACAGAAGCAAUAGGUCAGAGAAGGAAAGUCCCUCUCUCUCCCCUGGGAAAAUCACUGUUAACAAUUUUACCUGUUUCCAUCUCUCUCUCUCUCAAUAUUCAUAGAACUAUAUAUUUAGAUAUAGUAAAACUGUACAUACGUAGCGUACAUAUAUAGAAAACACACAUGUAGAAAAACACUUUACAUACUUUUAAAAAGAAAUACACAUGCAUAGUUUCUUUAGAAAAAUAAACAGACUGGCAUCUUUUAUACUUUCCUGUACCAGUUGCUCAAGUCAAAAAACUAGGAGUCUUUUUCGCACUUCUCUUUGCCUUACCCCCACCUCCAGUCUCCAGUAAAUGCCAUUGUCUCCAUCUUAAAAUAUAACCCAAGUGGGCCGGGUUACUCGUCACUUUGAGCACUGUUUGCAGAGAGUCCGAGGCAGCCUGAGCCGGAUCACGUCUCUCCCACUUGGAGCCUACCGAUGGCUCUCACCGCCUGCAGAAUAAAAAUGACAGCCCUCCUUUCCUACCACACCAUCCCCCCGCCCCUGCUCCGUACCUUAAGAAUGGUCAAAAGAAGCAGCGAAGUUCGGAAUGAAUGAAUGGUGAGAUUAGAGGAUAUAAAGGGAAAAAGAAGGGGGGGGGUAGGGAAACUUAUUUAAAAAUAAAAAAUGUUCCAACAGGUCAUGUUUUCUAGUCCCCUAACCCUGACCCCAUACCACCCCAUACCACCAUCCGCCCUGUGGUUGGGAGGUGGCGUGCAUGCUCUGGAGAUUCUGAAGGCAGGGGCAUGCAAAGGGAAAACUGCUGGAUGAAGACUGUCUUCAGCAAGCUUAUCCAGCCACCCUUGCUUCAUUCACACUAGUCCUGAUGUGUCGUUACCACCCCCAGAGGAUUUGAACCCCCUUCAGAAGAGGUGAUUCAAACCCAAAGAGAAUUUUUUUUAUCAGGAAGGUCAAGCCCACGGUGUGGACAUUCUCACCGUCUGAGGGUAGAAUGUCUUGGGGAAGACUGUGAGUCGCGGUUGCCUGGAUUACAAGCCAUGGAAGGCUUUCCCCAGCCCAAAAUGUGAGAUGCAACCUCCUGAUGUUGGCCAAUGGCCCUCAACCCAUCUUUCCUGCUAGAAAUGUCAUGUCUAUGAUCACCCAUCUUUCCUGCUCACUGCCCCCUCGGCUGCCACUGCUCUCCUCCCGGCCUCUUCUCGGGCAGCCCUGUGUCCCCCUUGUGCAUGCCUAAGUCCCCCAACCUAAUGUUCCCCCAAACCAUUCACAUCUUAACCUACAUACUCACCAGUCAACUUCCAACUGGACCCCUCUGUCCCGGAGCGCUUUCUGUUCCAGCAGCUAGUUUUGGCCUAUUGUGCCUGAGCAAGUGUCUGUGAGUAUAGUACUGAACCUCACAGAGCAACAAAGAGGGCAUCGGGCUGGAUGUUCAAAUGCAACUUUGAGGGCGCCUGGGUGGCUCAGUCGGUAAGCGUCUGCCUUCGGCUCGGGUCGUGAUCCCAGGGUCCUGGGAUCGAGCCCCGCAUCGGGCUCCCUGCUCCGCGGGAAGCCUGCUUCUCCCUCUCCCACUCCCCCUGCUGGUGUUCCCUCUCUUGCUGUGUCUCUCUCUGUCAAAUAAAUAAAUUUAAAAAAAAAAUGCAACUUUGACAGUGACGCUAGGUAUCGUCGCGGGUGGAGUUGAGAAAGCAGAGGAAAGAGAUCCACGGGCCAUGGCAGGGAUGACUUUGACGUUAUUGAGAACACUAGAAAGGGCCCCUGCAGCCCAGGAAUACUGGCCAAUAAGGAGAGGGCGAGCAGGUGGCCACAGUCAUGAGCAGAAGCUUCUCGGGUCUUGGAGCAUGGGUGGUCAAAGCCCCACCAGGGUGCUCUGCGGAGCUUGCAUCUGCUUGGGGACAAGGCUGCAUGGACCGCUUACAGGCUGGUUUAAGUAGCACUCCUGUAUCCAGGAGCGUCCUUCGUGAGAAACAGUUGCACGUGGGUAAUACUGUCAUUUCUCUUGUUACCUGAAUCUCUUCUAGAUUUGCACACUAUGAACACGGUGAGCAACUGAAUUCUGAAAUACCCAGAUCAGACACCUUGCUCUGGGUACAGUAGAUUCUUCAGGGUAGUUUAGUUUAAAUGCUUUCUCUUACCCACCCAUAGUAACUCCCAUGGCUUCUUGGACUAGAGUUACUGUCACAACAUGGUAUCUACAUUAUUGUUUCCUCUCUGUCUUCUUCACGGGUCCGACGGGGUAGGACCAUGGGCCCGGCAGGGUCUCAGCGGGAAAUAGCUACCACUGCCAGAUUGGGAACCCCCACUUCCUAAGGGACAAUUCCCCACGAUAAAGUCCGGUAGAGUGGAAAGCACGGAGGAUGCUGUGGUACCCAGAGUCAGCAAAGCCAGAAUGGAGAGUCCUAUUGAAAAGGGCCUCCUUCACCGGAGGGACGGGAGCAGCCUGAGACAAGCAUGCGGCGCCAGGAAAGGACAAUCCAGGGGAAUCAAGACUCCAGCCUCGCUCCUGAACCACCCUUGGUGCUCCCUGUUGGCUGACCCGACACCAGGGGCGCCAGGAGGCCAGGGAGGGGGGCCACAGGAUCCCCCUUCUGGGCAGAGAGCAGGGUGGAGAUGUGGAGCGUGGAUCCGGCCGGGCGAAGGGAGCUAUCCAGCACCGAGUGUGUCCUACUUGAUAUUUAUGUCCCUCGGGCCCAGAACAACCCUCAUUUAAGAUUUACAUCCCUGGUGCCCAGGAAAAUCCUUGAUAGUAGGGGAGAGAUUGUAGUUAUAUGUCAACCAUAUUGCCAGGCACUAGAGAUAAAAACAUAAACAUUAAUAAUCAUUUGGCUGGAAGGAGAGCAUGAAGGAUCAAGUAGAGAGGAGGAAGGAGGAACACUUGGCUGAGGGUACACGUCUGCGGGGCUGCAAACCUCCUCUCUAGGGACCAAGUCAGCUGCCCCCAAGGUAAGGGUCUAUUUGAGGAUCUCGGGAAGAAUAUUUAGCCCAGCCUUCUUUUAAAAAAGAGCAAUGCAAGUGCAAUCCGUCUUCGACUACCCAUGGGUAUGAAGCUAAAGUGAGUUGUGCCAGGUCCUGCACAGGAUAGGAUCAGUUACGCUACACAAACAAAAACAUCAACAUUGUAGUGGCCCCUUCUGGGUAUAUACUCAAAAGAACUGAAAGCGGAGUUCGAAGAGAUAUUUGUACAGUCACAUGCCUGGCAGCCUUAUUCUCCACGGCCACAGGAAGAAACGACCCCCGUGUCUAUCGAUGGAUGAAUGGAUAAACAAAUGUAGUAUAUACCUGCAAUGGAAUCACAUUCAGCCUUACAAAGAAGGAAAAUUCUGGGGCACCUGGGUGGCUCAGUCAGUUAAGCGUCUGCCUUCGGCUCAGGUCACGAUGCCGGGGUCCUGGGAUCGAGGCCCACGUCGGGCUCCCUGCUCAGCGGGAAGCCUGCUUCUCCCUCUCCCUCUGCCCUUCCCCCCACUCAUGUUCUCUCCCUCUCUCUCAAAUAAAUAAUCUUAAAAAAAGAAAGAAAGAAAGAAAAUUCUGUCACCUGCCACAACACAGAUUGAACCUUGAGGACAUUAUACUAAGUAAAAUAAGCCAGUCACAAAAAGACAAAUACUGCAUGAUUCUGCUUAUAUGAGGAACCUAGAAUAGUCCAGUUCCUAGAUGCAUGAGGUACGAUGGAGGUUUCCAGGAGCUGGGGGAGAGCAGGGGCUGGGAUAUCUUGUUUAAUGGGUGCAGAUUUUUAGUUUUUACAAGACAAAAAGGGUUUCGGAGACCGGUUGCACAACAAUGUGAAUGUACUUAACUCUCUCGAACUGUACACUUAAAAAUGAUUAAGAUAAUACAUUUGAUGUUAUAUGAAUUUUACCACCAUUUUUAAAGAUUUCUUAAUCAAAAAAUAAAUACAGUGUCUUUUUUUUUAAGAUUUUAUUUAUUUGAGAGAGAGAAUGAGAGAGAGAGAGAGCACGAGAGGGGGAGGGUCAGAGGGAGAAACAGAACCCCCGCUGAGCAGGGAGCCUGACGCGGGACUCGAUCCAGGGACUCUAGGAUCAUGACCUGAGCCGAAGGCAGUCGCCCAACCAACUGAGCCACCCAGGCGCCCCUAAAUACAGUGUCUUAACCCACAACAGUUCAUCUCUCACCCCACUAUAUUUUCACCAAGGGUCAGCCAGCGUCUCUGUCCCAUGUUAUUAUUGACCUCCCUCUGGACCCAGCCAAUGGGGUAACCACCUUCUGGAAUGCUGCUGGUUUCCACGGCUGAGGAGAGAGACUAAGGGUGAGUCUUUCCCACCCGAACCUGAUAAGCAGAGACAUGGGGGCAAGAAAGGCACUAAGAGGUAUGCAGAUCUAAGACGGAUGUCUGGAAAAAAACCAUAGGGAUGGCUACUGCCCCAAGAAGCUGACCAGACUCGAACAGAUAAGAAGUGGACUGUGUUUAGUUGGUUUUUGUUUUUGUUUUUUUUUAAACCACCAGCCUGGCCUAAAAGUGUCUGUGACUGCUCGAGAUUUUAAGUGACCUUUGGUCCCCUCAGCGACCUUUAGGCAGCAAGCAGGCCGAGGAAGCCGUCCCUCCCCCAAGGAUAUCCUCUACUAGUGCCCUAUUCAAAUGACACUUAGGAGAGUGAUCGACGAGCAAAGCAGAGCCACAGCCAUGGACGGCACAGACAGGGAACUGCCUCCAGGGAGCUGAAUCAGGGCCCGUUCGAGAAAGAUGCUCUCCCCGCAGAGUGUGAGCUUCUCAGAACGUCCGCACACCCUCGGUCCACAUCAGACUGUGGACCAGGGACGCUGUGCAGCCCCGCAUUUUCCUUUCCCAAAGGAGUGGGUCGUGCACAGAUCCUAUCCUGAUGCGGCCACUGCAUGUGGGGCGGGGGGUCCCAGAUAGCCCAGCGUUCUGGCUCACUGGUUUCCAGGUGGGUGAGACUGCACCUCAUUCACUGAAGUCCAAGGAGACCCGAAUUUUGAACUGGAUACUGACCCUGGACGGGACAUCUGGGCUCCAGGGGCAAUGAGAGCGGAAUGAGUCUAUUCUGAGCACAGCAAGAGGGUGAGCUGGUACGCUGGGUAGAGUGUGGUGUUCACUAGGCAUUCUGACAUUCGCUGAUUCCGAGUACACUUUAAGGCUGCACUUUCGGCCCCUCUUGUAGCUGGAAGAGACUCAAUGAUGAGUGUACUUCUUUGCCUUCUGUUUUACUGGUUAUACAUGUGUACCAAGAGGGGGGUCUGGGAAUAAGCAUAUUAGAAAUGACAGAAAAGGAAGGAAGGAAGGAAGGAAGGAAGGAAGGAAGGAAGGAAGGAAGGAAGGAAGGAAGGAAGGGAAACAAGGAAGGAAGGAAGGAAGGAAGGAAGAAAGAAAGAAAGAAAGAAAGAAAGAAAGAAAGAAAGAAAGAGAAAGAAAGAAAGAAAAAGAGAAAGAAAGAAAAGAGAAAAAGAAAGAAAGAAAGAGAAAGAAAGAAAGAAGAGAGAAAGAAAAAGAAAGAGAAAGAAACAAAGAAAGAGAAAGAGAAAGAAAGAGAAAGAAACAAAGAAAGAGAAAGAGAAAGAAAGAGAAAGAAAGAAAGAAAGAGAAAGAAACAAAGAAAGAAACUACAAAUAUAGGUUUGAAUUAAACCACUCAAAAAUAAUAGAUAAAAAUAGAUGAUUAGUACAACAAAGGCCUGGAGCAGACAGGAGAGAAUAUUAAGAGAAUAGGGGGCCGAUGUUGGCACAAAAUAGGAGGGCCACCAGGCGGGGGACCUGCUGAAGGCUUGAGGACGGAGAUGCUUUGGUUCACUUAUCUGCUUGUGUUGGGGCCUCCAGCCCAUCACACACCCCCUGGUACCUGCGUGGAGAUUAGAGACCAAUCACACCACCAGCGAAGUGUGUUCUCAGGCAUGUCGUUAAGGCUAGACUUGGUAUCUUCCGUAACGUGUGCUGGGUGCCACUGGUUUGCUCACUCCAGUCCAGCAUGGAAUCCCAGAGCUGGCGACUCUUCCUGGAGGAAAAGGCCCAUGGGAAGGAGCCACUGGCCAGCACUCAGGUGUAAUAGAUUCUAUUAAUUCACACCUGUGACAGAACCAUUUUUAGAGGGUUUUAAGGGGAUUUGCUAUUUUAUUUUACUUUAUUUUAUUUACGUAUUUUUUUUUAAUCACCCAACCCCGGGACUUAAAAUUUUUUAAAAGAUUUAUUUAUUUUUUUUAAAGAGAGAGAGAGAGAGUGGGAGGAGAGGCAAAGGGGGAGGGAGUGGGAGAGAAUCUCAAGCAGACUCGCCGCGGAGCAUGGAGCCCGACUUGGGGCUCGAUCCCACGACCCUGAGAUCAUGACCUGAGCCAAAAUCAAGAGUCAGAUGCUCAGGCGCCUGGGUGGCUCAGUCGUUAAGCGUCUGCCUUUGGCUCAGGUCAUGAUCCCAGGGUCCUGGGAUCGAGUCCCACAUCGGGCUCCCUGCUCGGCGGGGAGCCUGCUUCUCCCUCUCCCGCUCCCCCUGCUUGUGUCCCCUCUCUCGCCGUCUCUCUCUGUCAAAUAAAUAAAAUCUUAAAAAAUAAAAAAAAUAAAAUAAAAUUUAACUGGUGCCCUGGGGCGCCUGGGUGGCUCAGUCGUUAAGCGUCUGCCUUUGGCUCAGGUCAUGAUCCCAGGGUCCUGGGAUCGAGCCCCGCAUCGGGCUCCCUGCUCGGCGGGAAGCCUGCUUCUCCCUCUCCCGCUCCCCCGCUUGUGUUCCUGCUCUCGCUGUCUCUCUCUCUGUGUCAAAUAAAUAAAUAAAAAACCUUUAGAAAAAAAAAAGAGUCAGAUGCUCAACUGACAGAGCCACCACCCAGGUGCCCUGGGACUUGAAAUUUUAAAGCUGUUCUUCCGGGGUGGGAGAGUCUGGGGGCAGGAGGGUGUUAUGAUGACUUAAGACAGUGGCGAUGGCCCAAUAGAUACCAAGGAUCCCAAAGGACUGAGGCAAGGUAGGUGAGUCAGCCAGCCACCACCUCGACCCAGAAAAGCAGCAAUGCCGUUCAGGGCCACCCUGGCUCCUCCUUUGGGCAGCGCCUUGCUUUCCACCAUGAAAGUCAAAGAGAAAAGAUCUUUGCAAUCAGGAAGCCAGAGACAUUAGCAGAGCCCAGAAAGAGGUCGUCAACUUUCUGGAUAUGGGGACUUCAUCCCGUAACACUUGGCAGCCCUGACCAGAAGCUUGACGUGGUUAUUGAAAAAAGAGAAGUGCUUGGCUUUUCAUCGCUGAGACUCUCCAAUCACAUACACCUUGGUCAAAUCUGUCUCCUUCCCCAUCUCUGGAUUUCUCCAUCCCUGGAGCACCUGCUUCUCGUUUGGCCGCACCAGCUUACUUUACUCACAUCCUCUGCUGUGCUGAAAGAAAUGUCUGAGUUCUGGACUGACUGAUGCACUUCCUAUUGUCCUCCUCAAUGUGCUCUCAUGUCUAAUAACCUGAUAGGGUAACGACUACAGACCAUUAGUCCAAACUCUCAAGUCCUCUCUUAAUCUCGUUCAUGCUGGAGUUUCCAAGAAAGCGGGAGGAUCUAGCUGAAGGCAGGGAGCAAGCCCUGCCAUGACAAAUCACCGCAAACUGGGGGGGCUUAAAACAACAGAAAUUUAUUCUCUCCUUGUUCUGGAGGCCAGAAGUCCAAAAUCAAGGUGAUGACAGUCAUGUUCUCUCUCAAGGCUCUAGGGGAGGAUCCUUCCACGUCUCCUGCAACUUCUUGUGGUGGCUGGCCACACUUGGAGGUCCUCGACUUGUAGACACACCACUCCAAUCUCUGUCUCUGUGUCUGCAUCUUCCCAAAGUGUUCUCCUCUCUGUGGGUCUGGGUCCACAUUUCCCUCUUCCUUUUUUUUUUUUUUUUUUUAAGAUUUAUUUGGGAGAGAGAGUGUGCACGGUGGGGAGGAACAAAGGAAGAGGGAGAGAAGCAGACUCCCCACUGAGCACGGAGCCCUACACGGGGCUCGAUCUCAUGACCCUGAGAUCAGAUCUGAGCCAGAACCAAGAGUCGGACACUCAACCGACUGCCCCCCGCAAGUGCCCCCACAUUUCCCUCUUCUGACAAGGACACCAGCCACAAUGACCUCACUUUAACUUGUGUAAUUACAUCUGCAAAGACCCUAUUUCUGAGUAAGGUCACAGGCUGAGAUUCUGGGGGAAGAUGAGUUUGAGGGGAUAGCAGUCAACCCAGAACAACCCAGUGACUAACCCCAGGAAUCAAAGUCUUUCUGUCUGGGAGUCAGGGGCAUGGCCCAGAGUGGCCGCUUAGUACCUUUACCUUGGCCUCUGGUCUGCCGCAGGUGGCCCUCCCAGUUGAGCACUCACUCUGGACCAGGACUUCUAUAGUUUUACGUGCAGUAGCUCAUUACAUUGCCACAAAAAUCCCAGGAGGCGGACUCUCACCAUCCCCGUUUGGCAAAGGACAGUAACAGUGCUGAGAAAUUGAGUGCAUUGUAGACGGACCCCCUCACGGAGGCAUCAGACCACCUCUGUGCAGAGCACUUAGGUCUGGAUGAGGUUUGCUUUUCUCCAUUUAUUUUGUAUUUCUAAAAAACAUCAAACUAUGAAACAUGGAGAAAGAGUAUAUCAAGGCCCAUGUUUUAAAAAAUAAUAUGUUUGAGGGGUGCCUGGGUGGCUCAGUCGUUGAGCGUCUGCCUUCGGCUCAGGUCAUGAUCCCGGGGUUCUGGGAUCGAGUCCCGCGUCGGGCUCCCUGCUCGGUGGGGAGUCUGCUUCUCCCUCUCGUUUUAAAAAAUAAUAUGUUUGAAAAGUGAAUUAACCAAGAUAAUUGACACAGGCAUUGGCCAUGAGGAAACAAAAGCCUGCCUAUGAAAAACUGUGCGCAUCUCUUCAAGUCAGCCUUGUGCAGCUAACUUCAGCCAAGCCCCAGGGUUCGCUACCCGAGCGCUAUGAGUUGGGUCUCCCCCAGGAGUGGUGAGCCCCAAGUCAAAAGGUGCCAGGUCUAAGUCUCCCUGAUUGUGAUAGCAGUCGGUCUGCACCUUUGGGACCAGCCUGGAGGAAGGAACAAUCCUUCUGGCCCAAAGGAACUCCCGCCCAACUGGGCCGUGACAAGACGGACCGGUCACUCUCCUCGGGGAGCUUGUGUUCUGGCGGGGAGACAGGCACGUAAACAAACACAGGAGCGCGUUUCAGGGAGGAAGCCGUGCUGAGUAGACGGCGGCGCAGCAUGAGGGGCCGUGACCUUCGGGUGGGCAGUGUGAGGCCGGGGCCCCGGAGAAGAGUGUCUUUCAGGCGAUGACCAAGUUACUGAGAGCUGAAUCGCGAGAGGGUGAGCAGUUUGUCAGCUGGAGAGGGACUGGAGAAGGGGAAACACUUCAUCCAGCCGCCUGGCCAGCCGGGACCUCGGGGACCCACACGACGGCCCCCUUCUGCUGCACCUGCCCAGCAGCUAUGUCAUUUCAUAGAACAAGUGCAAAUUAAAUACGAAGGUUUAUCUGUGAAGCUCUUGCCCUGAUUGUAAGGUAAAUGUGUGCAAAUAGCUGGACGUAAUCUCGUUAAGGGUUCAGCACUGGGGAGCAAUGCACUCCAUCGAGGAAAGGGAGACACAUGCCCCUUUAGGAACAGCCUCCUCUUCAAUUCACAAAUAAAUAAUGGGAGCUGGGAAGGAAAUUAUUGUCUUUAAAUCAAGGGCCACGUUGGCAUUCUUCCACAGCAGUUACGGUGAGCCCAGACUAUGUCCCUGAACCCUAGGAAAAGCCUGGAUUCCACACCGUGGCUGGAGUAGAGUUCCCAGUGCUGGGGUGCCCGUGGGGUGCUGUUGGUCCUGUAUUGGGGUAGACCUGGGUGGCCAGCCUCAUAGGCCUUCAUUUUUAGCCCCCCCCCCCCGCCACCGCUGGAAAAGGCUGCCUAAUGCGUAGAGCCAUUGGGCAUGCACCAGGGGACACCACGUUGAUGGCUCGCCCAACGUCCAUCCAGUCGCCUCCAGCUCAGUCCUGUAGUAAGACUGUGGUCUGGAGAGGUAAAUUCCCCGCGUGUCGCGCCAUCCUUUGCAGCCGGGAUGUUAGCGGGUCAUUGGACUCCAGUUGUACCUAGAGAACGACUUACAGGAGUCCCCGAGCUGGAGGUCACCCCAGGGACGCGCAGCCGCGUGCACGGGGAGGAGACCUUGCGCCAACGCGCUGGCCGGUGCACCGGGUUUUUUGGGGGGGCUGUAGCAGCUGUGGGCAUCCAGCCCCCCAUUCACAGGGGCCAGAGAGUGGGAGGCAGCAACCACGGGGCUUCUGCUACAAUUAUACGGAGCCGGGGGGUUCCAAGGUUCUCUGUACAUCAGACUCACCUGGAAAAUGUGUUAAAGCCCCGCUUGCCGGGCCUCAGUCCCCAGGGUCUCUCAUUCCGUGGGUCUGAGGUGAGGCCCGAGGCUCUGUCUUUCUGCCGCCUUCCCAGAUGUCGGUGAGGCAGCUGGUCUGGGAACACACUUCGAAAACUCCUCUUUCGAGGUCCGAUUCCUCCUUUCUCCUGGGCGCAGUGUCGAUGGCUGCAUUGUUCCUUUGUAUCAUUUUUUAACCUUCCUGGAGGUUCUGUGCAUCAGGUCAGACCCUUGGUUAAACCCCUUGCGGGUUGCUGGCCUUCUGUACCAAUGCUCUCAACAUUCUUGGAAUUCUCCACCGAAUCCUCCUGUCGCCUCCGUUGGGGUCUUCGGGUCAAUUCUCUGUCCCCGGCUCUAUUGCUUGCAGAAGGCCCAUGACUCAUGCUGACAUAAACCCCAUCCUACCAGAUGUUCUCCAUUUCAGCAUCCUAUCUCAAUAACUCCCUCUUGUGCUGGAACUGCCCCAGACUCCCCCACUUUCUCCCAAAAUAAUCCAAUCGGGAAUGUUCACUGAAGGACAGGGUUAGGGUCUAUUUUGCUCAAAGGCAAACAUGUCUUGAAUUUAGCACAGAAACUGAAGUAGCCCCACAGAAGAAAAAACAAAGUUAUAAGAACGUCUUUUUAUCUACCAAAGGGAAACAAAAGUCAGAUGGCAGGUGCCUGCUUUGUGCCCCGUUCUUUAAGAUCUGAUCCUUUUUCUUUUCUUCUUCUUCUUCUUUUUUUUUGGUAAAGUACCUUAAUGUAAAAUUUAAAAUCAAAACAACCUAAAAGAGCCCUCUUUGAAGGGUAUGAGAAUGGAUAAGAUUGAUUAAAUGGCAUCUUACUAGACGCGUCUAUUUAAAAUUGGUUAAAAGGUAUUAUUUACCCAAUGAACCAUAAGGGCUCAAAAAAAAAAAAAAAAAGAAUCCUAACACAAUAACAGUCCCUCAGGUAAAUGCCCCUUCAGACAGUUUUUUAAAUGUGUGUCAUUUAUUUGAUAAAGCAUAGCAGCCUAUCGAGAGAGGAAUUAUGGUCUGCUGCAUAAAUAGGCAUUUGGACAACUUUAAAAAUGCAUACUCUUUACACCCAAAUGCCGAGGGAAAAUCCCAACAGAAAGUGGUUAUUAUGAGCAAAGAGCAACCACUUUUCAAAACCAAGAGGUGAUCUAGCCCAGUGGUGUCUUUCAAACUUUUCUUCUCCUAGAGCUGCAUUGAUCUUCUCCUUAUUUAUUUAUUUGUUUCGAUGGCCACAAGUCACUUCUGGGUCUGGGUCAAGAGGCUUCUGACCUGCCCUGAGCUCAGGCUUAUGGGUGUCCUCACCGUUGUGUGCCCACCAGAAUCACCAGGGAGCCUACCCAGACCCCACCCCAAAGAGGCCGGGGCACGGUUCUAGAAGCUCCUCAGGUGAUUCCGAUCUGCAGUCAGGGUUGAGAACCCCCAGGCUAGAUAAAGAAGCCAAAGCCCAGAGAGGCCAAGUGACUUGGCCAAGAUCACACAGCAAGCCUGGGGGCGACCCAGGUAUCUGGAUCUUCAUUCAUGCUGCUCCUACACACUCUCCCCUUGCCUUGCAGAGUUGCCUUUUCCCUUUACUUUUAAUACAAUUUCACGCUUCUUUCGUUACAUCUACAUUUAGAGUAUUUAAAUAGUGUAGAGUAGUUAUGCAAUCACAUCAGCAAGCAUUUAGGAAAUGCAACGAGAAAAAAUACACUUCAUUCCCCAAAUACCAGCUCGGUAAGUACUUUUGUAUUAACUGUACUAGAUUGCCUUAGAUCCCAUUUUCAUCUUUAUAUAUCUUCCCUAUUUGUAAAUGUGAGUUUAUAUGUUUGUGUAUUUUAAAAUUUUAUACCCCAGGUACUCUACCUUACUGCAAAUUCUCUAUUGGUUUUAAGUUAAUUUUAAAAAUAAUAGAUGUUUGGGGUACCUGGGUGGCUCAGUCAGUUACGCCUCCAACUUUUUUUAUUUCGGCUCAGGUCCUGAUCUCAGGGUCGCGAGAUGGAGCCCCGCGUGCAGUUCUGCACUGAGUGGGGAGUCUGCUUAAGAGUCUCUCUCUCCAAAAAAAAAAAAAAAAGGAAUCUCUCUCUCCUUCUCCCUCUGCCCCUCCCCCACCCC